rnacentral:rRNA from 1 species
GUAGGUGGCAAGCGUUGUCCGGAAUUAUUGGGCGUAAAGCGCGCGCAGGCGGUCCUUUAAGUCUGAUGUGAAGGCCCACGGCUCAACCGUGGAGGGUCAUUGGAAACUGGGGGACUUGAGUACAGAAGAGGAAAGCGGAAUUCCAAGUGUAGCGGUGAAAUGCGUAGAGAUUUGGAGGAACACCAGUGGCGAAGGCGGCUUUCUGGUCUGUAACUGACGCUGAGGCGCGAAAGCGUGGGGAGCAAACAGGAUUAGAUACCCUGGUAGUCCACGCCGUAAACGAUGAGUGCUAAGUGUUAGGGGGUUUCCCGCCCCCCUUAGUGCUGCAGCUAACGCAUUAAGCACUCCGCCUGGGGGAGUACGGCCGCAAGGCUG